GCUGUGUAUGUAAAACAUAUGUUAAGUGUUGGUGGAUUAAAAAUUUGAAGACAUCAAUGAGAAGGAACACAAAAACCAUGGUGCAUAAGAUAUGUCCAACAAGUCCUUUAAAAUACAGCUAUGGAUUGGAUUCAGCAGCCACAGUCACUUGAGCACCAGAUCCUUCUUGCUCCUAUGACAGAGGAUCCUUGACCUGUUUGAAAUUUACUGAAGCAGAAGCUCCAUUUGUCUGGUUAUGCUAUGCAAUGAUUCUGUCCAAAUACUGCAGAGGCACCAAAAGGGUAUUGAACAAAUCUUUUGGGGGAAGUCAUGAGGACACAAAGGAUAACUGUCUCCAACUUUGAAGCUGUGCUUAAUUUUAAGUGAAAAAGGAAUUUAGCUCGAUGAAUUGAUUGGGUGCUUAAGGUGUUUCACAUAAUUUAGUUCUGCAUCCUCCUCUCUGUGAAGUAUCUUAUGAGACUCUGUAUGCUAGGACAGCAAUUUUCAAGAUUGUGAAAGUCAAGCGUACCUACUCCGCUGCAUUAUUAACAGCUGAAGAUGCAGUCCAUUAUCUGAAGACUUAUACUUAGAAUAUGAGGAAGAUUCUUUACAUCUGAAAACUGACCUUGUCUACUACCACCAGAUUCAAGGUCAACACAUGUGUAACAAGACAUGUUGCAUCUUCUUGGUUGGGACCCUGGUCAACAGUGUCAUUAUUGUAAGAAUUGUGUAGGAUAAGGAAUGUACUAAAAAUAUUGCACUGCUAUAAAUUUUUACUACAGUACCUUUAUUCCAGCACCAAGAGAAAACUAGAAACUUUGACAAACUAUGUUGGUCUCUGUACUGUUCCGUAAUUGAUAUGACAAUGUAAAUCUGAGAUAAAUAAAGUGAAGGAGAUUAUGUUAAAAAAAAUAAUAAUAAAAUUUCAAUUCAGUACUUUUUUAGUGCAUGAACAUACAACAUUUGGUAGUAAAUUCCAUACACGUGUAGUUCAGUGACAUGUAAAAAUACACUUUCUGCAUAAUGUCUAAUUUUUAAUCAUUCAUUUGUAAAACAUGAUCAUUUAAAUAUUGCAACAAGUAA